AUGCUUAGGAAUCGGCCUGGUAGUGGGGGAUAACCCGGGGAAACUCGGGCUAUAUACCGCUAUACGCCCUACGGGGGAAAGCGGGGGACUUUCGGGCCGUCGCGCUAUUAGAUGAGCCUAAGUCCGAUUAGCUAGUUGGUAGGGUAAUGGCCUACCAAGGCGACGAUCGGUAGCUGGUCUGAGAGGACGACCAGCCACACUGGGACUGAGACACGGCCCAGACUCCUACGGGAGGCAGCAGUGGGGAAUAUUGGACAAUGGGCGCAGGCCUGAUCCAGCGAUGCCGCGUGUGUGAAGAAGGCCUGCGGGUUGUAAAGCACUUUCAGUAGGGAAGAAAAGCCGAGUGCUAAUAUCACUCGGUCUUGACGUCACUUACAGAAGAAGCACCGGCUAACUCCGUGCCAGCAGCCGCGGUAAUACGGAGGGUGCGAGCGUUAAUCGGAAUUACUGGGCGUAAAGGGCGCGUAGGCGGUUUGGUAAGUCGGGUGUGAAAGCCCCGGGCUCAACCUGGGAAUUGCAUUCGAUACUGCCUGGCUAGAGUAUGGUAGAGGGAAGCGGAAUUCCGGGUGUAGCGGUGAAAUGCGUAGAUAUCCGGAGGAACACCAGUGGCGAAGGCGGCUUCCUGGACCGAUACUGACGCUGAGGCGCGAAAGCGUGGGGAUCAAACAGGAUUAGAUACCCUGGUAGUCCACGCCCUAAACGAUGAGAACUAGCCGUUGGAGAAGCUUUGUCCUUUAGUGGCGCAGCUAACGCGAUAAGUUCUCCGCCUGGGGAGUACGGCCGCAAGGUUAAAACUCAAAGGAAUUGACGGGGGCCCCGCACAAGCGGUGGAGCAUGUGGUUUAAUUCGAUGCGACGCGAAGAACCUUACCUGCCCAUGACAUCCUCGGAACUUUCCAGAGAUGGAU
rnacentral:rRNA from 1 species